AUGAACACAAAAACAUAUAUCAUAAAAAGCGCCAAUCCUUUAGUUGAUGAUGUUGAAAUAGUGCUUGGGUGUCAACAGGUUGAUCAUCUUGUAUCUUGUAAUGUCACAGAUUCAACAUUCUCAUCAAUCCAGAGUACUUGUGUUGUGGCUUCAAGCAAUUCACCUAAAGUUCCAGCCAACACAUGUAUUGGGAAACAAAAUGUAAUUGUUGGCACAUCUGACAAACAUGGAAACAACAAAGCAGACGACAUGCAUCAGAAACGUGAAGCUGGAACUGGGGGAGAUAACCAUUGUAUUGAAAGCAGCAGCAAAGGCACUCCAGAACCGAUGAAUACUCAUGGAGCUGAUGGCAAAGAAGCUGACAUAGUGGGAACCCCAAAGGCCAAGAAUGUGUCACAUGAUAGUAGCUCGGAUGUUGAUGCUAAAAUGAAGUUAACAGUGACGAGGUGCCACUAUCGAAAAUACGUAAGUUGA
rnacentral:rRNA from 1 species